UACGGAGGGUGCGAGCGUUGUCCGGAAUCAUUGGGCGUAAAGGGCGCGUAGGUGGCCCGGUCAGUCUUUGGUGAAAGCGCGGGGCUCAACCCUGCGUCGGCCAGGGAUACUGCCGCGGCUGGAGCACUGUAGAGGCAGGCGGAAUUCCGUGUGUAGCGGUGGAAUGCGUAGAGAUCCGGAAGAACACCGGUGGCGAAGGCGGCCUGCUGGGCAGUUGCUGACACUGAGGCGCGACAGCGUGGGGAGCAAACAGG
rnacentral:rRNA from 1 species